CCUACGGGAGGCAGCAGUAAGGAAUAUUGGUCAAUGGGCGGAAGCCUGAACCAGCCAUGCCGCGUGCAGGAAGACUGCCCUACGGGUUGUAAACUGCUUUUGUACCGGAAUAAACCUUGAUUCGUGAAUCAAGCUGAAUGUACGGUAAGAAUAAGGAUCGGCUAACUCCGUGCCAGCAGCCGCGGUAAUACGGAGGAUCCAAGCGUUAUCCGGAUUUAUUGGGUUUAAAGGGUGCGUAGGUGGCUUUUUAAAGUCAGGGGUGAAAGACGGUAGCUUAACUAUCGCAGUGCCUUUGAUACUGAAGAGCUUGAAUGAACUAGAGGUAGGCGGAAUGUGACAAGUAGCGGUGAAAUGCAUAGAUAUGUCACAGAACACCAAUUGCGAAGGCAGCUUACUAUGGUUUAAUUGACACUGAGGCACGAAAGCGUGGGGAUCAAACAGGAUUAGAUACCCUGGUAGUCCACGCCCUAAACGAUGAAUACUCGAUGUUGGUCGAUAUACGUCGAGCGUCGUAGACGAAGACGUUAAGUUAUUCCUACCGUCGGGUAGGUACGGCCCGCCGACGGUAGGAACGUACGAAGGUAAGUUAGACGGCGUGAGACGUGCCGACGGACGACGACGAGGGAGGAGG
rnacentral:rRNA from 1 species